rnacentral:rRNA from 1 species
UGAGAAAUGGCUACCACAUCUAAGGAAGGCAGCAGGCGUGUAAAUUACCCAAUCCUAAUUCAGGGAGGUAGUGACAAGAAAUAACAACUCGGGCCCCACUUGGGGUUGCGAGAUUGCAAUGAGAACAAUUUAAACCACUUAUCGAGUAACAAUUGGAGGGCAAGUCUGGUGCCAGCAGCCGCGGUAAUUCCAGCUCCAAUAGCGUAUAUUAAAGUUGUUGCAGUUAAAAAGCUCGUAGUUGAAUUUCAGGCCGGCGCUGUUCACGGCUCUCGCAGUCGGUUCAGGAGCCUGGUCAUCCGUAUGGGAAGCAAGCUCGUCCUUCAGUGGUCGGCUAGUGGAUCAUACACUUUACUUUGAAAAAAUUAGAGUGUUUCAGGCAGGCAAUUGCUUGGAUACUGCAGCAUGGAAUAAUGGAAUAGGACUUUGACCUAUUUGUUGGUUUCUUGAGGUCAAAGUAAUGAUUAAUAGGGACAGUUGGGGGCAUCCGUAUUUAAUUGUCAGAGGUGAAAUUCUUGGAUUUAUUAAAGACGAACUUAUGCGAAAGCAUUUGCCAAGGAUGUUUUCA